rnacentral:tRNA from 1 species
GAUGAUGAUCCCAAGCCUUCUGGCGAUCUACACAAAAUAAGCCCACCGUGGGCUUUGAAAAACGCUUUCCUUUAUAAAAUUAAGCGUUUUAUAAGAGGAUGCCGGGGAAGGUUUUCCGGUUUAUCCCGGAGGGCUUGUAGCUCAGUUGGUUAGAGCGCGCGCUUGAUAAGCGUGAGGUCGGAGGUUCAAGUCCUCCCAGGCCCACCAAUUUAUCCAUUGCUUUCAUAAGUACUUUAAAAAAUCAGCACUUCUAAAAAGCUUAUCAAAAUUGGCAGGCUUAUUGCUUUUGUGUGCGUAUCAAAGUUAAAGCAACUGAAUGGUAAGCAAGCAGUUCAAAUGCUAAAAUGCUAAAAAGUUGAAAUUCCUUGCAAAGUGAUUUUUGCAGUGUCCAUUUGGUUGAUACAAAUUCCCAAUACUCAUGGACGUAAAUGCCCAUAUAAAACAUAUCGGUUAACUCAUAUCACUUUGGAUUAUAUACGUUUUUUAAUCCCUCUUUUAAUCGUUUUAAACGCUUUAUCCUGUUUUAGGGGCCGUAGCUCAGCUGGGAGAGCACCUGCUUUGCAAGCAGGGGGUCGUCGGUUCGAUCCCGUCCGGCUCCACCAUAAGAUCAUCAUCAUUGUUGUAAGAACGGUUUUGUGAAAGGUUUGCGAGCCUUUUGCUUGUUCU